rnacentral:rRNA from 1 species
GACGAACGCUGGCGGCGUGCUUAACACAUGCAAGUCGAACGGAAAGGCCCUGCGUUUGUGGGGUGCUCGAGUGGCGAACGGGUGAGUAACACGUGAGUAACCUGCCCUUGACUUUGGGAUAACUUCAGGAAACUGGGGCUAAUACCGGAUAGGAGCUCCUGCUGCAUGGUGUGGGUUGGAAAGUUUCGGCGGUUGGGGAUGGACUCGCGGCUUAUCAGCUUCUUGGUGGGGUAGUGGCUUACCAAGGCUUUGACGGGUAGCCGGCCUGAGAGGGUGACCGGCCACAUUGGGACUGAGAUACGGCCCAGACUCGUACGGGCGGCAGAAGUGGGGAAUAUUGCACAAUGGGCGGAAGCCUGAUGCAGCAACGCCGCGUGCGGGAUGACGGCCUUCGGGUUGUAAACCGAUUUCGACUGUGACGAAGCGUGAGUGACGGUAAUGGGUAAAGAAGCAACGGCUAACUACGUG